UUGUUUUAAAAAAAAAUAGUUAUUACAACUAUGACAAGUAAAUGAUGUAAUAAACCCUCACAAAACUUGAAAUGACAAACACCUUAUACAUAUACUACAUGCGGUUCAUUUCAUCAUACACAAGGGUGGCAUUGAGUUGAGAGAAAGAAAAAAUGGGGAAAAGGGGUAUGGGAAAUCAGGGGAGCUUCGCCCAUCAUUCGAAGGGAAAGAAAGAAAGGAUAAAAUCUGAAAACUUGGUCUGCUUUCUGUGCUUCAAAAGCUUUGGCACCAAGAAAGCCUUUCAAGAUCAUCUGAAUGACAGACGGACUGCGGCAAAUGCUUAAGUUGCGGGUGCUGCUUCAAGAUUGAGUCCAGCUUCACCGAC
rnacentral:lncRNA from 1 species